ACUGAGACACGGCCCAGACUCCUACGGGAGGCAGCAGUGGGGAAUAUUGCACAAUGGGCGAAAGCCUGAUGCAGCGACGCCGCGUGAGGGAUGACGGCCUUCGGGUUGUAAACCUCUUUCAGCAGGGAAGAAGCGAAAGUGACGGUACCUGCAGAAGAAGCGCCGGCUAACUACGUGCCAGCAGCCGCGGUAAUACGUAGGGCGCAAGCGUUGUCCGGAAUUAUUGGGCGUAAAGAGCUCGUAGGCGGUCUGUCACGUCGGAUGUGAAAGCCCGGGGCUUAACCCCGGGUCUGCAUUCGAUACGGGCAGACUAGAGUGUGGUAGGGGAGAUCGGAAUUCCUGGUGUAGCGGUGAAAUGCGCAGAUAUCAGGAGGAACACCGGUGGCGAAGGCGGAUCUCUGGGCCAUUACUGACGCUGAGGAGCGAAAGCGUGGGGAGCGAACAGGAUUAGAUACCCUGGUAGUCCACGCCGUAAACGGUGGGAACUAGGUGUUGGCGACAUUCCACGUCGUCGGUGCCGCAGCUAACGCAUUAAGUUCCCCGCCUGGGGAGUACGGCCGCAAGGCUAAAACUCAAAGGAAUUGACGGGGGCCCGCACAAGCAGCGGAGCAUGUGGCUUAAUUCGACGCAACGCGAAGAACCUUACCAAGGCUUGACAUCGCCCGGAAAGCAUCAGAGAUGGUGCCCCCCUUGUGGUCGGGUGACAGGUGGUGCAUGGCUGUCGUCAGCUCGUGUCGUGAGAUGUUGGGUUAAGUCCCGCAACGAGCGCAACCCUUGUUCUGUGUUGCCAGCAUGCCCUUCGGGGUGAUGGGGACUCACAGGAGACUGCCGGGGUCAACUCGGAGGAAGGUGGGGACGACGUCAAGUCAUCAUGCCCCUUAUGUCUUGGGCUGCACACGUGCUACAAUGGCAGGUACAAUGAGCUGCGAUGUCGCAAGGCGGAGCGAAUCUCAAAAAGCCUGUCUCAGUUCGGAUUGGGGUCUGCAACUCGACCCCAUGAAGUCGGAGUUGCUAGUAAUCGCAGAUCAGCAUUGCUGCGGUGAAUACGUUCCCGGGCCUUGUACACACCGCCCGUCACGUCACGAAAGUCGGUAACACCCG
rnacentral:rRNA from 1 species